rnacentral:rRNA from 1 species
ACGUAGGGUGCAGGCGUUAAUCGGAAUUACUGGGCGUAAAGCGUGCGCAGGCGGUUUGCUAAGACAGGUGUGAAAUCCCCGGGCUUAACCUGGGAACUGCGCUUGUAACUGGCAAGCUGGAGUGUGGCAGAGGGGGGUGGAAUUCCACGUGUAGCAGUGAAAUGCGUAGAUAUGCGGAGGAACACCGAUGGCGAAGGCAAUCCCCUGGGCCUGCACUGACGCUCAUGCACGAAAGCGUGGGGAGCAAACAGGA